UUUCUAAUAUCACAAAUCAAUCUCGUAGCUUCUCUUUCUUUGUGCUCAAUUGUUAUAAUUACUCUCUAAUCAUGUUUUCCACCAUUGCUGUACCUUCCGGCAAAGCAAAUCCUCACCGGCGGGAAGUUUCCGCCGUGCCGGAGAGCGAGGUUCUACGGAGAAGAAACGAGGAGUUGGAGAAGGAAUUGAAGAAGAGCAUUGAAAGGGAAGAGAAAAUGAAAGAGGAAUUGCAGAAGACGUGGGACCGGCUGAGGGUGGCGGAGGAGGCGGAGGAGCGGCUCUGCUCUCAGCUCGGUGAACUUGAGGCGGAAGCUGUUGAUCAGGCUCGGGCAUACAGGACACGUGUCAUCAAUCUGAUGGAUCAACUCUCUUUGGCUCAGAAACUUCUAGAGUCAGCUUCUAUUUCUCGAUGAUAUGCAACGGGAAUUGUUGUUGAUGCGUCAACUCCGUUUUAAAAACUAGGUGUAGAUGUGUUAGAACGGUUAUUUGGAUGAUAAGUAUUAUUUUAGUUUUAAUUUUAAAAUUAUGAGCUCGAAUCAUCGACUAAACAUAGGACACGAUUAAUCGAAAUUGUGUGCUCGAAUUAUGAAGG
rnacentral:misc_RNA from 1 species